AUUGAACGCUGGCGGCAUGCUUUACACAUGCAAGUCGAACGGUAACAGGCCUUCGGGUGCUGACGAGUGGCGAACGGGUGAGUAAUGCAUCGGAACGUGCCCAGAGGUGGGGGAUAACGCAGCGAAAGCUGUGCUAAUACCUCAUGUGAUCUGAGGAUGAAAGCGGGGGACCACGCAGCAAAGUUUGGCCUCGCGCCUUUGUAGCGGCCGAUGUCAGAUUAGGUAGUUGGUGGGGUAAAGGCCUACCAAGCCGACGAUCUGUAGCUGGUCUGAGAGGACGAGGGGCGAAAGUGGAACUGAGACACGGCAAAGACUCCUACGGGAGGGAGCAGUAGGGAAGCUUGAGCAAGGGGCGAAAGCUUGACGCAGCAAUGCCGCGUGAGUGAAGAAGGGCUUCGGAUCGUAAACGUCUGUGAUGAGGGAAGAAAAAAAGCGUAAGUAAAUCUGCGCGGAAUGACGGGACCUAAUAAAAAAGAAACGGCUAAUUACGUG
rnacentral:rRNA from 1 species